rnacentral:rRNA from 1 species
AGCAGCCGCGGUAAUUCCAGCUCCAAUAGCGUAUAUUAAAGUUGUUGCAGUUAAAAGCUCGUAGUUGAAUUUCGGGGUUAGUAGGUUGGUCAUGCCUCUGGUAUGUACUGGUCUCACUGAUUCCUCCUUCCUGAUGAACCGUAAUGCCAUUAAUUUGGUGUUGCGAGGAAUUUGGACUGUUACUUUGAAAAAUUAGAGUGUUUAAAGCAAGCUAACGCUUGAAUACAUUAGCAUGGAAUAAUGAAAUAGGACGUUCGAUCCUAUUUUGUUGGUUUCUAGGAUUGACGUAAUGAUUAAUAGGGAUAGUUGGGGGCAUUAGUAUUCAAUUGUCAGAGGUGAAAUUCUUGGAUUUAUUGAAGACUAACUACUGCGAAAGCAUUUGCCAAGGAUGUUUUCAUUAAUCAAGAACGAAAGUUAGGGGAUCGAAGACGAUCAGAUACCGUCGUAGUCUUAACCAUAAACUAUGCCGACUAGGGAUCGGAUGAUGUUAUUUUUAAUGACUCAUUCGGCGCCUUACGGA